GCCUAAGAGCAUCAGACUUUUAAUCUGAGGGCCCAGGGUUCAAGUCCCUGCUCGGGCG
rnacentral:tRNA from 1 species